rnacentral:rRNA from 1 species
CCUACGGGAGACAGCAGUGGGGGAUAUUGCACAAUGGGGGAAACCCUGAUGCAGCGACGCCGCGUGGGUGAAGAAGCGCCUCGGCGCGUAAAGCCCUGUCAGCAGGGGAGAAAAUGACGGUACCUGAAGAAGAAGCCCCGUCUAACUACGUGCCAGCAGCCGCGGUAAUACGUAGGGGGCAGGCGUUAUCCGGAUUUACUGGGUGUAAAGGGGGCGCAGACGGCGAUGCAAGCCAGGAGUGAAAGCCCGGGGCCCAACCCCGGGACUGCUCUUGGAACUGCGUGGCUAGAGUGCAGGAGGGGCAGGCGGAAGUCCUGGUGUAGCGGUUAAAUGCGUAGAUAUCCGGAGGAACACCGGUGGCGAAGGCGGCCUGCUGGACUGCAACUGACGUUGAGGCCCGAAAGCGUGGUGAGCAAACAGGAUUAGAACCCUUGUAGUC